rnacentral:rRNA from 1 species
UACAGAGGGUGCGAGCGUUAAUCGGAAUUACUGGGCGUAAAGCGCGCGUAGGCGGCUUUGCAAGUCGGGUGUGAAAUCCCCAGGCUUAACCUGGGAACUGCAUUCGAGACUGCAUUGCUAGAGUAUGGGAGAGGGAAGUGGAAUUUCCGGUGUAGCGGUGAAAUGCGUAGAUAUCGGGAGGAACACCUGUGGCGAAAGCGGCGCACUGGACCACAACUGACGCUGAGGCGCGAAAGCUAGGGGAGCAAACAGG